UAUAGUUUUAAACAUCCACACAGUGGAGAAGAUGUCAAGUUUUUUUGCCCACCACCGCCAGAUUUUUCUGAUGUUUUGGCUCAGCUACGGAAUGCAAGCACCUGAUUUAAGUAGAAAGAUGAGGCUUCUUGUUCAAAAACCUGUUCACAAGACUCUGGGUUAUUUACUUACAUAUUAUGAAUGCUGUCAUUACUCAUCAACAUAUAGCAUUACAUAAUUACAUUUGUAUUUAGCAGACUUGUAAGGUGCUUACUAAUUACCAAGAUGGAAGAGAUCUUAAAAGAAGAAAGCCGAUUGCAAAAUGUUGAUUCUGGCAGUUGGGGAAGAGUGAAAGAAGAAGCUGUAAAAACAUUGAUUAACACAAGAAUGAAAUUAGGAGAGGAAAUUCUUAUCCUCAUUAAUCAGCCCAGGAAAUCUCAAAACUUAAUUAUACAGUAGUCACAAUCUUGUUUAUAUACUACACUAAUUAAAAUAAAAUAAACUGUUAUUGCCCUAAUAUUCACCAUUAUUAGUUCAAUAUCAUUUAAGUCAUUGUUCUUCCAAAUUCGAAAUACUUUCUAUCGGACGAAUGUUGAACCACUUCAAUUUAGACUUAUAAAUUACCAAAGAGACAAACCCUAAAACCAAAGAGAAAAUCGCCAGAGAGAAGAACGGAGUGAUAAAGUAAUGUUCAUGACAGUCUCUCUCUCUCUCUCUCUGCUCAGAUGCUGCAUCAGCUACUAAUUUUUUUCCCUUUUCAUGAGAUUGGUCCCCCUGUUUGAAGAAGAUCCAUAAUUAAAUUUGUUAAUAGGUGUUUUAUUUUAAUAAUCGAAUGAAUGGUCAUUUAAUUAUUUAUUUUGUGGGUUUAAUAUUUUAGUCCCACAUCGGCCAAUCCCAAACAUGGAGAGAGAAAUGGGUGAAUAAGUACAGACAUGAAUUCAUUUGAAAAUUCAUACCUUUCUCGGCCUUUUGGCUAAGAUCAAGUGUAGUAUCUGUUCUUAUCAGUUUAAUAUCUGAUACGUGGGCCAUCGGCUCACAUGAUAUUAAAUUAAUUUUUUUGGGGGAAAGAUCAUUACGGUAGCUUGCUAUUGGGAUCUUUGAGCGUCUCCUUUGCGUCGCACUAUUGCAAAGGUUGGCACACCCCUACCAAAUUAAAUUAAAUUUUUCAUAAUGUUUUAAUUAUUUAUGUAUUUGUACUUUUUAGUUAAAGUAUAAAUUAAAAAUAGAGUUUGGUAAAUAUAAAUAAUAAAGAUAAAACAAUAAUUUGGUAAAUUUUUUUACCUAUCGGGUUAUUUAUAAAUAAAUCCUUAUAUUAUAUUUUAAUACUAUAAAAGUUAUUAAAAUAUUAAUAAAUAAUAUACAUAAAAUUAAAUAUUUAAAUCUUAAAAAUAUAAAAAACCCACAAUUAAAAUAAAUUUAUAAUAUUUGUAUUUAUUAUAACAUCUUAUAAAAUUUAUAAUACUUGUAUAUACGAUUUUGUUGUUCAUUUUAAUGUAAAGAUGAAAUGAACGAAGAUGAGUUUAUGUCCACACGUUCAAGCUCAAGCUAUUUUUUGAGCUUGUUUAAAAAACGAGCUGAGCUUGAGUUUUUUUAGCUCAUUAGGCUCAUAAAUUAGCUUAAGUUCGUCUCUCUCGUAAAUUAGCAAUUUUGGAAGAAGUUUAACCUGUAGAGAUAGUCUUCAAACACACUUUUGGAAGAAGUUAACAUAUCGGAGUCAUCAGUAUGUUUCACCUUCUUCAACUCGAACACAAAAUUACUGUAACCGGAGUUACGUUGUCACAAGAAACUAUAGAUGAGAUGAGAAGAGGAUGAGUUAAAAGAGUUACCUGAGUUUGGAGAAGAGAAUAACACCACUGGUGUGGUGGUGGAGGCGGAAGCAUCUGAAGAGUCUUUGUUGGAAGAACAUGUGACAAACCCUAGUGAUAAUAAAAAGACUUGUGUGUCAGCUGACACCCAAGUACAGGAAUCCAAAGAAGCAACGGACAAGAGGCAGCAUUUUAAAUCAAACCCUAGCCGUCGGUUUGAAGGAGGCUAGAGUCCUCCCUGUUUUUCCCAUUUGCAGUGAUUCCAAG
rnacentral:lncRNA from 1 species